rnacentral:rRNA from 1 species
AACGAACGCUGGCGGCAUGCCUAACACAUGCAAGUCGAACGAGACCUUCGGGUCUAGUGGCGCACGGGUGCGUAACGCGUGGGAACCUGCCCUUAGGUUCGGAAUACCUCCCCGAAAGGGGUGCUAAUACAGGAUAAUGUCUUCGGACCAAAGAUUUAUGGCCUUUGGAUGGGCGCGCGUUGGUUUAGCUAGUUGGUAGGGUAAAAGCCUACCAAGGCGACGAUCCAUAGCUGGUCUGAGAGGAUGAUCCGCCACACUGGGACUGAGACACGGCCCAGACUCCUACGGAAGGCAGGAGUGGGGAAUAUUGGACGAUGGGGGCAAGCCUGAUCAAGCAAUGCCGGGGGAGUGAUGAAGGCCUUAGGGUUGUAAAGCUCUUUUACCCGGGAUGAUAAUGACAGUACCGGGAGAAUAAGCUCCGGCUAACUACGUG